CCUACGGGAGGCAGCAGUAGGGUAUCUUCCACAAUGGACGAAAGUCUUAUGGAGCAACGCCGCGUGAGUGAAGAAGGUUUUCGGCUCGUAAAGCUCUGUUGGUAGUGAAGAAAGAUAGAGGUAGUAACUGGCCUUUAUUUGACGGUAAUUACUUAGAAAGUCACGGCUAACUACGUUCCAGCAGCCGCGGUAAUACGUAGGUGGCUAGCGUUGGCCGGAUUUAUUGGGCGUAAAGCGAGUGCAGGCGGUUCAAUAAGUCUGAUGUGAAAUGCUUCGGCUCAACCGGAGAAUUGCAUCAGAAACUGGUGAUCUGGAGUGCAGAAGAGGAGAGUGGAACUCCAAGUGUAGCGGUGGAAUGCGUAGAUAUAUGGAAGAACACCAGUGGCGAAGGCGGCUCUCUGGUCUGCAACUGACGCUGAGGCUCGAAAGCAUGGGUAGCGAACAGGAUUAGAUACCCCUGUAGUC
rnacentral:rRNA from 1 species